CGCGUAGGCGGUCUGUUAAGUUCGGUGUGAAAGCCCCCGGCUUACCCGGGGAACUGCGCCGGAAACCGACAGACUCGAGUACCGGAGAGGAGGGUGGAAUUCCUGGUGUAGCGGUGAAAUGCGUAGAUAUCAGGAGGAACACCGGUGGCGAAGGCGGCCCUCCGGACGGAUACUGACGCUGAGGCGCGAAAGCGUGGGGAUCAAACA
rnacentral:rRNA from 1 species